UACGAAGGGUGCAAGCGUUACUCGGAAUUACUGGGCGUAAAGCGUGCGCAGGCGGUGCACCAAGCUCGAUGUGAAAGCCCCGGGCUUAACCUGGGAAUUGCAUUGAGGACUGGUGUGCUCGAGUGCGGCAGAGGGGGGUGGAAUUCCACGUGUAGCAGUGGAAUGCGUAGAGAUGUGGAGGAACACCGAUGGCGAAGGCAGCCCCCUGGGCCGACACUGACGCUCAUGCACGAAAGCGUGGGGAGCAAACAGG
rnacentral:rRNA from 1 species